rnacentral:rRNA from 1 species
GAUGAACGCUGGCGGCGUGCCUAAUACAUGCAAGUCGAACGCAUUGUGGUUGAAAUGAUAUGAAGAACUUGUUCAGAUUUGAUUUUCAACAUUGCAAUGAGUGGCGAACGGGUGAGUAACACGUGGGAAACCUACCUCUUAGCAGGGGAUAACAUUUGGAAACAAAUGCUAAUACCGUAUAAUAAUUAAAACCGCAUGGUUUUAGUUUAAAAGAUGGUCUUGCUAUCACUAAGAGAUGGUCCCGCGGUGUAUUAGUUAGUUGGUGAGGUAAUGGCUCACCAAGACAAUGAUACAUAGCCGAGUUGAGAGACUGACCGGCCACAAUGGGACUGAGACACGGCCCAUACUCCUACGGGAGGCAGCAGUAGGGAAUCUUCCACAAUGGACGAAAGUACUGAUGGAGCAACGCCGCGUGUGUGAUGAAGGGUUUCGGCUCGUAAAACACUGUUGUAAGAGAAGAAUGACAUUGAGAGUAACUGUUCAAUGUGUGACGGUAU